rnacentral:misc_RNA from 1 species
AGCCAAGUAGAACUCCAAUGAGCAUAAACACCAAACUUGAUAAGGAUAAAAGAGGAAAACUGGUUGACGAAAAGCUCUAUAGAGGUGUAAUCGGUAGUUUCUUAUACCUCACAGCUAGUAGACUACAUAUUAUGUUUUUUGUAUGUUUAUAUGCACAUUUUUAAUCAUUUCCUAAAGAGUCUUAUUUAGACACAUUGCUGAGUAGAAACAAAGAAAUCAACUAUUCCCAGCAGAGAAACUAGAAAAUGACAACUGAGAAGCAUCUGCAAGCAAUUUAAAAUUGGAUGCCAUAGCAAAUAACUCUAAGCCUGUUAAGAUAAUGUCAGUAUUAUGUUUACUAAUAGAAUUGUAAAUGAAGAGAGAAGAUGACGGUAAAUAAUUGGAAAAAAAAAAUGUAAUCGACUCUUUUUCAGUCCAAAAUUAUGCUAAUUUGCAUUAUAAGUUGAGAGGCUUGAUUGAAUAUCAAACAUGACCAUUUGAUAUAAUUUACCUUCUCUUUUUUUUUUUCUCUU